rnacentral:rRNA from 1 species
AGUGAACGCUGGCGGUAGGCCUAACACAUGCAAGUCGAACGGCAGCACAGUAAGAGCUUGCUCUUACGGGUUGCGAGUGGCGGACGGGUGAGGAAUACAUCGGAAUCUACUUUUUCGUGGGGGAUAACGUAGGGAAACUUACGCUAAUACCGCAUACGACCUACGGGUGAAAGCAGGGGAUCUUCGGACCUUGCGCGAUUGAAUGAGCCGAUGUCGGAUUAGCUAGUUGGCGGGGUAAAGGCCCACCAAGGCGACGAUCCGUAGCUGGUCUGAGAGGAUGAUCAGCCACACUGGAACUGAGACACGGUCCAGACUCCUACGGGAGGCAGCAGUGGGCAAUAUUGGACAAUGGGCGCAAGCCUGAUCCAGCCAUACCGCGUGGGUGAAGAAGGCCUUCGGGUUGUAAAGCCCUUUUGUUGGGAAAGAAAAGCAGCAGGUUAAUACCCCGCUGUUCUGACGGUACCCAAAGAAUAAGCACCGGCUAACUUCGUG